rnacentral:lncRNA from 1 species
UUCCGAUCGGAAGGGAGCCCUUUGAGUAAGUGAAAUGAAGCGUGAAUAACUGCCUAAUUAGUGGACAUGAAAACUGGACAGUCUCCAAAGUCAUCAGAGAUGACCACGCUUGCCAGGCAACUUACUAGACUAAGGGUGACGUGCCCAUCAUGCAGGAAGCUUCUCCAAGGCUGGCGAGAGCAACUUGUCUGCUUUGAGAAAUGCAGAUCUAUCAGGAUCCAGAAUCGGACUCUGAAAAAGCUGUCAUUUCAUGUCUCUAAAACAGCCUUUGAUUUAAUGUACAAGAUGUCAAGAAGUAAAGGACAAUAAAAUAAAAACCAAAAAAGGAGAACUAUUUCAAUUAAGAAGCAUUCCUAUAUCAAUUCUUGGAAAUCACAUAAAAUAAAAGCUGUCAGAAUCAA